ACACUCACCUUACCAUUUUCACCACACCACAUGGAUUUCACUCCUAUGUAUAAAUUCUUUGCACCAAAGGGCGAGUUAUUAGAGCCACCACCAUCAUCACAUCCAAUUCUUACAGAUGGCUAUGACCUCGGCCCUCAUCUAAUAGCCAUGAUUCAGGAGCAACCCUUCUCUGGGCAAGUAGAUGAAGAUCCAUACACCCACC
rnacentral:lncRNA from 1 species